rnacentral:rRNA from 1 species
CGUACACUCCUACGGGAGGCAGCAGUGGGGAAUAUUGGACAAUGGGCGCAAGCCUGAUCCAGCCAUGCCGCGUGAGUGAUGAAGGCCCUAGGGUUGUAAAGCUCUUUCACCGGUGAAGAUAAUGACGGUAACCGGAGAAGAAGCCCCGGCUAACUUCGUGCCAGCAGCCGCGGUAAUACGAAGGGGGCUAGCGUUGUUCGGAUUUACUGGGCGUAAAGCGCACGUAGGCGGACUAUUAAGUCAGGGGUGAAAUCCCGGGGCUCAACCCCGGAACUGCCUUUGAUACUGGUAGUCUUGAGUUCGAGAGAGGUGAGUGGAAUUCCGAGUGUAGAGGUGAAAUUCGUAGAUAUUCGGAGGAACACCAGUGGCGAAGGCGGCUCACUGGCUCGAUACUGACGCUGAGGUGCGAAAGCGUGGGGAGCAAACAGGAUUAGAAACCCGGGUGGUCCCAUGA